GAUGAACGCUGGCGGCGUGCUUAACACAUGCAAGUCGAACGAUGAAGCCCAGCUUGCUGGGUGGAUUAGUGGCGAACGGGUGAGUAACACGUGAGUAACCUGCCCUUAACUCUGGGAUAAGCCUGGGAAACUGGGUCUAAUACCGGAUAGGAGCGUCCACCGCAUGGUGGGUGUUGGAAAGAUUUAUCGGUUUUGGAUGGGCUCGCGGCCUAUCAGCUUGUUGGUGCGGUAAUGGCUCACCAAGGCGACGACGGGUAGCCGGCCUGAGAGGGUGACCGGCCACACUGGGACUGAGACGCGGCCCAGACUCGUGCGGGGGGCAGCAGUGGGGAAUAUUGCACAAUGGGCGCAAGCCUGAUGCAGCGACGCCGCGUGAGGGAUGACGGCCUUCGGGUUGUAAGCCUCUUUCAGUAGGGAAGAAGCGAAAGUGACGGUACCUGCAGAAGAAGCACCGGCUAACUACGUGC
rnacentral:rRNA from 1 species